rnacentral:rRNA from 1 species
AUUGAACGCUGGCGGCAGGCCUAACACAUGCCAGUCGAGCGGAUGAAGGGAGCUUGCUCCUGGAUUCAGCGGCGGACGGGUGAGUAAUGCCUAGGAAUCUGCCUGGUAGUGGGGGAUAACGUCCGGAAACGGGCGCUAAUACCGCAUACGUCCUGAGGGAGAAAGUGGGGGAUCUUCGGACCUCACGCUAUCAGAUGAGCCUAGGUCGGAUUAGCUAGUUGGUGGGGUAAAGGCCUACCAAGGCGACGAUCCGUAACUGGUCUGAGAGGAUGAUCAGUCACACUGGGACUGAGACACGGUCCAGACUCCUACGGGAGGCAGCAGUGGGGAAUAUUGGACAAUGGGCGAAAGCCUGAUCCAGCCAUGCCGCGUGUGUGAAGAAGGUCUUCGGAUUGUAAGGCACUUUAAGUUGGGAGGAAGGGCAGUAAGUUAAUACCUUGCUGUUUUGACGUUACCAACAGAAUAAGCACCGGCUAACUUCGUG